rnacentral:rRNA from 1 species
GACGAACGCUGGCGGCGUGCUUAACACAUGCAAGUCGAACGGAAAGGCCCUGCUUUUGCGGGGUGCUCGAGUGGCGAACGGGUGAGUAACACGUGAGUAACCUGCCCUUGACUUUGGGAUAACUUCAGGAAACUGGGGCUAAUACCGGAUAGGAGCUCCUGCUGCAUGGUGGGGGUUGGAAAGUUUCGGCGGUUGGGGAUGGACUCGCGGCUUAUCAGCUUGUUGGUGGGGUAGUGGCUUACCAAGGCUUUGACGGGUAGCCGGCCUGAGAGGGUGACCGGCCACAUUGGGACUGAGAUACGGCCCAGACUCCUACGGGGGGCAGCAGUGGGGAAUAUUGCACAAUGGGCGGAAGCCUGAUGCAGCAACGCCGCGUGCGGGAUGACGGCCUUCGGGUUGUAAACCGCUUUCGCCUGUGACGAAGCGUGAGUGACGGUAAUGGGUAAAGAAGCACCGGCUAACUACGUG